AGGAACCCCAGCAAUCCUGUCUGCACGUGACCACAUAAUGGCCACCUGGGAAAGCCGUGUCAACCUCUUACAAAAAUGAAGGAGAGAGAACCAGAGUGGUCAGCAAAGCGACUUCAGCCAUGCAUUUUUAUUCAGUCGGCCGGAUGGAGGCUGUGAAUGUAGGAAUGCCGGAUGCAACUCUAUACGCUAUGCCUUAGAAAAUGAAAGGGGGAAAAUGAAGGUUUGGACACUGUUACUUGACCCUGCUGAGCAGCAACCAUGGAAGCAGGAAGUGAAGAAGUGACUACAGUAAUCCAGGUAGGAGAGGACAGUUGCUUGGGCCCAGGGGGCAGUGAAGGGGGCAAGAAGUGAUGGAUUCCAGAUGGAUCCGAAGGCACAGCAUUUGCUGUUGGAUUGGCUACUGAUGAAACCCUUGAGGGCAAAAGGAAUUCAUCCAUCUCCUUGGCACUGGGUACAGCGCUACAGACAGUGGGGAUGCUAGAAAAACUACAACUAUUUAAGCUGGAAGCACAGAACACUGAUUUUGGUUCUUAAUGUCAACAGACAUGAGGUGGAGGUGUAGAAACAUAAACAGCUCACAGCUAUGAAGAUUAAGCCAACAACAAAAAAAAAUGGCGUACCUCUUCAGAUCUGGUUCAGUGGACCUUUUGCACAAGUAUGAUUUCUGCA